rnacentral:rRNA from 1 species
AUUGAACGCUGGCGGCAGGCUUAACACAUGCAAGUCGAGCGAGCGGCGGACGGGUGAGUAAUGUCUCGGAAACUGCCUGAUGGAGGGGGAUAACUACUGGAAACGGUAGCUAAUACCGCAUACCAUCAGAUGUGCCGAUAUGGGAUUAGCUAGUUGGUGGGGUAAAGGCUCACCAAGGCGACGAUCCCUAGCUGGUCUGAGAGGAUGACCAGCCACACUGGAACUGAGACACGGUCCAGACUCCUACGGGAGGCAGCAGUGGGGAAUAUUGCACAAUGGGCGAAAGCCUGAUGCAGCCAUGCCGCGUGUGUGAAGAAGGCCUUCGGGUUGUAAAGCACUUUCAGCAGGGAGGCGUUACUCGCAGAAGAAGCACCGGCUAACUCCGUGCCAGCAGCCGCGGUAAUAC